UGCGUCGGCCCGGAGUCGAAUCCGGGUCAACUGUUUGGCAAACAGCUAUUCCGUUCUGACCUUUGAACUACCGACGC